rnacentral:rRNA from 1 species
CACGUAGGGGACGAGCGUUGUCCGGAUUCAUUGGGCGUAAAGAGCUCGUAGGCGGCUUGUCGCGUCGGCUGUGAAAUCCCGUGGCUUAACUGCGGGUCUGCAGCCGAUACGGGCAGGCUAGAGUUCGGUAGGGGAGACUGGAAUUCCUGGUGUAGCGGUGAAAUGCGCAGAUAUCAGGAGGAACACCGGUGGCGAAGGCGGGUCUCUGGGCCGAUACUGACGCUGAGGAGCGAAAGCGUGGGGAGCGAACAGG